rnacentral:rRNA from 1 species
GAUGAACGCUGGCGGCGUGCCUAAUACGUGCAAGUCGAGCGAAUGGAUUAAGAGCUUGCUCUUAUGAAGUUAGCGGCGGACGGGUGAGUAACACGUGGGUAACCUGCCCAUAAGACUGGGAUAACUCCGGGAAACCGGGGCUAAUACCGGAUAACAUUUUGAACCGCAUGGUUCGAAAUUGAAAGGCGGCUUCGGCUGUCACUUAUGGAUGGACCCGCGUCGCAUUAGCUAGUUGGUGAGGUAACGGCUCACCAAGGCAACGAUGCGUAGCCGACCUGAGAGGGGGAUCGGCCACGCAGGGACUGAGAGACGGCCCAGACUCCUACGGGGGGCAGCAGUAGGGAAUCUUCCGCAAUGGACGAAAGUCUGACGGAGCAACGCCGCGUGAGUGAUGAAGGCUUUCGGGUCGUAAAACUCUGUUGUUAGGGAAGAACAAGUGCUAGUUGAAUAAGCUGACACCUUGACGGUACCUAACCAGAAAGCCACGGCUAACUACGUGCCAGCCGCCGCGGUAA